rnacentral:rRNA from 1 species
AACGAACGCUGGCGGCAUGCCUAACACAUGCAAGUCGAACGAGACCUUCGGGUCUAGUGGCGCACGGGUGCGUAACGCGUGGGAACCUGCCCUUAGGUUCGGAAUAACUCCCCGAAAGGGGUGCUAAUACCGGAUAAUGUCUUCGGACCAAAGAUUUAUCGCCUUUGGAUGGGCCCGCGUUGGAUUAGCUAGUUGGUAGGGUAAAAGCCUACCAAGGCGACGAUCCAUAGCUGGUCUGAGAGGAUGAUCAGCCACACUGGGACUGAGACACGGCCCAGACUCCUACGGGAGGCAGCAGUGGGGAAUAUUGGACAAUGGGCGAAAGCCUGAUACAGCAAUGCCGCGUGAGUGAUGAAGGCCUUAGGGUUGUAAAGCUCUUUUACCCGGGAUGAUAAUGACAGUACCGGGAGAAUAAGCUCCGGCUAACUCCGUG